CCUACGGGUGGCAGCAGUGAGGAAUAUUGGUCAAUGGGCGAGAGCCUGAACCAGCUAAUUCGCGUGAAGGAUGACGGCCCUCCGGGUGGUAACCUUCUUUUGUCAGGGAGCAAUUGAGUCCACGUGUGGUCUUAGCGAGAGUACCUGAAGAAAAAGCAUCGGCUAACUCCGUGCCAGCAGCCGCGGUAAUACGUAGGCUGCGAGCGUUAUCCGGAUUUAUUUGGUUUAAAGGGUGCGUAGGCGGAAUAUCAAGUCAGCGGUAAAAAUUCGGGGCUCAACCCCGUCGUGCCGUUGAAACUGAUGUUCUUGAGUGGGCGAGAAGUAUGCGGAAGGCGUGGUGUAGCGGUGAAAUGCAUAGAUAUCACGCAGAACUCCGAUUGCGAAGGCAGCAUACCGGCGCCCAACUGACGCUGAAGCACGAAAGCGUGGGUAUCGAACAGGAUUAGAUACCCCUGUAGUC
rnacentral:rRNA from 1 species